UCUCACACACGCAGAGGCACAGGGGGGAAAGAAGCCGGUGAAUAAUUUUGCUACUAUUUUUUAAAAUACUGGCCGCCAUCAUCAUCAAGCAACCAGCAGCAGCCAGCUCAAAGGGAGAGGAGGCAUGGGGCAGGGCCCUGUAGGAGAGGAUUUAUAUCUAGUUGAAAAAAAAAAAGAAAAGAAAAGAAAGAAAAGAAAAAGAAAAAAAAAUUGUCAAGCCCCCGAACUGAAGGUUACGAGCGGCCAGUCAGCAGCCCACAUGUAACCGAACUGUCGAGUUUCAUGGCUUUUUGCCACUCCAGCUGUCAAUCAAAGCCCGGAAUGUCAAGGUAGUGAAUGAAUGAUGGUUGAUGAUGAUGAAGAGGAGCAAUCUUUCAGACCCGUUUUUUUUUCUUCCAGUAAAACUCCGCGAGGGGUUUCUGCUUCUUGAAUUUUUCCUCCCCCCUCCCCCCUCCUUUAGCUUUGCCCCCAAAACAGCUCUAAUAUGAUCCUCUCUUUUUAAAGUAUUGUUCAAAGAAAGCAAGGAGAAAACCAAGAAAAAAUGAAUAGUUUGCAAAAAUUGGACUUCCUCUCCCCCCCCCUCCUCUGAAGAACUUCAAGAUUACAAAUAUCCGUCUCAUUUGAUGCUGAGUUACUCGUCGACGGAUAAGAAAAGGAACGCCAGUUUCCGAGAUAAAUGCUUCUUUUGUCAAGAACAACUUCGUGAGAAGACUCCGCGUCUUCCUCUAAGCAUGCUUAGCGCUUUAUUCCCACACCGCUACGGCGUCCCCCCCCCCGCCCCCUUGAUAUUGUAAAGCGAUUUAGUUUCCCUGUAGCCUUUAUUUAGUAAAACUUCUUAGCAUUAAAAAAAAACAGCAGUAAUAAAGUUUCUCCCUGAGUAAAAA